AGCAUUUCAUAGCAAGGGCCGGGCAAGACCGGUGCCAGCCGCCGCGGUAACACCGGCGGCUCGAGUGGUAACCGUUAUUAUUGGGUCUAAAGGGUCUGUAGCCGGCCGGAUAAGUCUCUUGAGAAAUCUGGCAGCUUAACUGUCAGGCUUUCAGGAGAUACUGUCUGGCUCGAGGCCGGGAGAGGUGAGAGGUACUUCAGGGGUAGGGGUGAAAUCUUGUAAUCCUUGAAGGACCACCAGUGGCGAAGGCGUCUCACCAGAACGGACCUGACGGCAAGGGACGAAAGCUAGGGGCACGAACCGGAUUAGAUACCCGGGUAGUCCUAGCCGUAAACGAUACUCGCUAGGUGUCGGCCACGGUGCGACCGUUGUCGGUGCCGUAGGGAAGCCGUGAAGCGAGC
rnacentral:rRNA from 1 species